GGUGGGAAAAGAUAUGAAUAUAUCCUAUGUUGUCUUACUAACGCUUCCGUUACUCCUGUAUUAAAACCACCAGGCCAGAUCAGGAAGGUUUCUUAGCCAUUAGAGGAAUCAGCGAGGGGGAUGUUCAGAAUGUCUCAGUUGGGGGUGAGUUCCUUGUGACUAGAGGCAUUCAAGCGAAAAGAUGAUUCCUCGUCAGGAACAUGGGUGUGAAGAGUCGCAUCAGAGAGGCGUUGGAUGAGAAGACCUCUAAGGGUCUUCCAAUCCUGUGAUUCAGUUGUUCUGUUAUUACGGGAUAGUCUUUCAGACCUGCCCCACGGGUUGGGAGGACAGAGUACAAGAGCCGUGUUGACAUUUCUUCUUGAUGUCAGACUGUUGACUGUCUGGCCAUCUUAACAGGAACAGCUGUGAUUGAUAUUCUUUUUUUAAAAGAUUUUAUGUAUACACACACACACACACACACACACACACACACACACACACACA
rnacentral:lncRNA from 10 species